AGUGAACGCUGGCGGUAUGCCUAACACAUGCAAGUCGAACGACAGCACAGUAAGAGCUUGCUCUUACGGGUGGCGAGUGGCGGACGGGUGAGGAAUACAUCGGAAUCUACUUUUUCGUGGGGGAUAACGUAGGGAAACUUACGCUAAUACCGCAUACGACCUACGGGUGAAAGCAGUGGAUCUUCGGACCUUGCGCGAUUGAAUGAGCCGAUGUCGGAUUAGCUAGUUGGCGAGGUAAAGGCCCACCAAGGCGACGAUCCGUAGCUGGUCUGAGAGGAUGAUCGGCCACACUGGAACUGAGACACGGUCCAGACUCCUACGGGAGGCAGCAGUGGGGAAUAUUGGACAAUGGGCGCAAGCCUGAUCCAGCCAUACCGCGUGGGUGAAGAAGGCCUUCGGGUUGUAAAGCCCUUUUGUUGGGAAAGAAAAGCAGCAGGUGAAUACCCCGCUGUUCUGACGGUACCCAAAGAAUAAGCACCGGCUAACUUCGUG
rnacentral:rRNA from 1 species